CAUAAGGAUUUUUUUAAAUCCAUUGAAAAAUUCAAUACAUCAAUA
rfam:Phaethon lepturus contig9921, whole genome shotgun sequence.